rnacentral:rRNA from 1 species
AGCAGCCGCGGUAAUUCCAGCUCCAAUAGCGUAUAUUAAAGUUGUUGCAGUUAAAAAGCUCGUAGUUGAACUUCAGGCCUGGCUGGACGGUCCGCCUUCCGGGCGAGCACUGUCUGUGGUCGGGUCCUACCUUCUGGCGAAGCGUCAUGGCCUUAACCGGCCGUGGCGGGGAACCAGGACUUUUACUGUGAAAAAAUUAGAGUGUUCAAAGCAGGCAAUUCGCUUGGAUACAUUAGCAUGGAAUAAUGGAAUAGGACAAUGGUUCUAUUUGUUGGUUUCUAGGACUGUUGUAAUGAUUAAUAGGGAUAGUUGGGGGCAUUAGUAUUCAAUUGUCAGAGGUGAAAUUCUUGGAUUUAUUGAAGACUAACUACUGCGAAAGCAUUUGCCAAGGAUGUUUUCAUUAAUCAAGAACGAAAGUUAGGGGAUCGAAGACGAUCAGAUACCGUCGUAGUCUUAACCAUAAACUAUGCCGACUAGGAAUCGGGCGAUGUUGACAAAAUGACGCGCUCGGCACCU